AAAUUGAUUAAUUCAUUUCCUUAUGCAUAUAUUUGUGGACCAAUCAAUUUCUUUAUGUUUAUGAUUAUGCGCUUAUGCAAAAGUGUGUGCUCCUCGCUUAAAUGUUAUUCAUGUUGCUAUGUAUCAAAUUAAAUCAAUAAAUGAGAUGAAUAAAAUUAGUUGGUGAAUGAAUGAAAUAAAGUUGGUAGCGCUGAAGUUGAUAGUAUUGAAGUUGUCGCUGUACGCCACAGCACCCCUCACCCAGCGACGUUCUACGUUGCGAAUUUAACUUUCUUCUUAGGGCCAGAAUAAGUUUUAAGUUGUUUACCCGAAGAAGUCGAAGUAGAUGAAUCAGAAGGAGUAGAAGGUGUCGUAAACGCCAAAGUGUCGGUGUCUAUUUCUUUUGGAAGGAAGGCUGGUUUAAGACGUUUGGUAGUGAUAUUUACAGUUUUACCUGAAAUAUCAAUCGUGAAAAGAUAAUCAUUAAUUCUUUCAACAACACGAAAAGUACCAGAAUAAGGAGGUUGAAGAGAUUAUCUAACAGUAUCAUCUCUAAUCUAAACGAUCAGAAGAAAGAUCUUCUUCAAUGAAAAAUUCUCCAGGAAUUCUUAGUGUUGAUCCAUAAAGCAUUUCCGCUGGAGAUGCAUUUAAAUCUUCUUUGAAGCAAGUGCGAAGUCCAAGUAGAACGAAUGCCAUUGGAAGCUGGAUGAUAAGCUGAAGUUCUUAUUCGCUCGCAACCUAUAAGGUUGGUGAGAGCUUUAAAUAAUGCAGCUUCAAACUGAGGUUCAAACCUUGAUCGGUUGUAAUUAUUUGGGGGGCACCAUAUCUCGCAACUCAAUAUGCAUAGAAAGCAGAGGAAACAGUUUCCGCAGAGAUUUCUGUUAAAGGAAUUGCCUCGGACCAUCUGGAAAAUCUGUCAAUCAUGAUUAAACAAUAACGAAAAUUUUGACAAAUAGGAAGAGGCUCAAUCAAAUGAAGAUGAAUAUGUUGAAAACGUUGAUCUGGAACAGCAAUUUUCCGUGGAAGAUUUUUAGUGUGUUUCUGAACUUUAGCACGUAGACAAGGUAGAACGACCACUUGGGUGAGAUAAAUCAUGAACAACAUCAAAUAUUCUUCUACGAAGUUGUUGAGAGAAACUAUCAUUGGCAUCGAAACGGAUUCGAUUCUUGAAAGGGAAUCUGCAACUACAUUUUGUUUGCCAGAAAUAUGCUCGAAAUUUGAGUCGAAAAUUGAGCAAUAAAAUCAAAAUGUCGAAUCUUUCUGGGAGAUGCUUUAUCUAAUUUCUGUCGAAAAGCAUAAAUUAGAGGUUUAUGAUCUGUCCUUCAAGCAUAUAUCUAAAAUGUUUAAUGUUUGUGGCUAGAUAAAUGCCAAGAAGUUUUCGAUCAUGCACCUACUGCAAAAUCUGAUGCGUCACAAGUAAGGAUGAGAGAUACAUUCGGAGCAGGAUGUGCUAAAGUGGAAACCCGUUUAAAAGUUCAUUCUUACAAUUUUUGAAGGCUUCAUCCGCUUCAGGAGUCCAG